AAUGGCUGCAGUAAUUUGACUGUACAAAGGUAGCAUAAUCAUUAGUUUUUUAAUUAAAAGCUUGUAUGAAAGGUCGGACGAAAUAAAAUCUGUCUCUUUUUAAUAUAAUUAGAAUUUAAUUUUUAAGUUAAAAAGCUUAAAUAAAUUUAAAAGACGAGAAGACCCUAUAGAGUUUAAUAAUUUUUUUUUAUUAAUUAAUUUAGAUUUAUUUAUUUUAUUUUAAAAAAAUUAUUUUAUUGGGGUAAUAGAAAGAUUUAUAUAAUUCUUUUUUAAAUAAAUCAUUAAUUUAUGAAAAUUUAUGAUCCAUUAAAUUUUGAUUAUAAGAUUAAAUUACCUUAGGGAUAACAGCGUAAUUUUUUUUAAGAGUUCAUAUCGAUAAAAAAGUUUGCGACCUCGAUGUUGGAUUAAAGAUUAGUUUAGGUGUAGAAGUUUAAAUUUUUGGUCUGUUCGACCAUUAAAUCUUUACAUGAUCUGAGUUCAAACCGGUGUAAGCCAGGUCGGUU
rnacentral:rRNA from 1 species